GGAGUCCGGACGGAGUCUAUCUAUAAUUGAAGUCGGAGAUGGAGUCCGGCUCCCAUAGGAGUCCGGACGAAGUCUAUCUGCAGUUAAAGUUGGGGAUGAAGUCCGGCUCCUGUAGGAGUCCGGACGAAGUCUACCUGUAGUUGAAGUCAAGGGCGAAGUCCGGCUCCCGUAGGAGUCCGGAUAAAGUCUACCUGCGAUUGUAGUCGGGGGCAGAGUCCGGCUCCCGUAGGAGUCCGGACGGAGUCUACCUGCAGUCGGAGUCGGAGACGAAGUCCGGCUCCC
rnacentral:lncRNA from 1 species